UAAUACGGAGGAUCCAAGCGUUAUCCGGAAUUAUUGGGUUUAAAGGGUCCGUAGGUGGAUAAUUUAGUCAGAGGUGAAAUCCUGCAGCUCAACUGUAGAAUUGCCUUUGAUACUGGUUAUCUUGAGUUAUUAUGAGGUGAUUAGAAUGUGUAGUGUAGCGGUGAAAUGCAUAGAUAUUACACAGAAUACCAAUUGCGAAGGCAGAUCACUAAUAAUCAACUGACACUGAGGGACGAAAGCGUGGGUAGCGAACAGGAUUAGAUACCCUGGUAGUCCACGCCGUAAACGAUAGUCACUAGCUGUUUGGACUUCGGUCUGAGUGGCUAAGCGAAAGUGAUAAGUGACCCACCUGGGGAGUACGAUCGCAAGAUUG
rnacentral:rRNA from 1 species